GCCAAGACUUAUGCAAUUUUACUUGAGCUCUACGCAGUGGACUAAACUAGAAACAGAAAGAACUUUUCCAACCAAAACUCUGCAAGGAACUGAGAGCACAGAGGAGGAUGACAUGACCCAGGAAACUCAAAGGAGCCUUUGGAAUUGAUCAGAUUCCCUUGGCAAAGCAAAGUCCCGCUGUGCCCUGUGGUGCGUUGAGAAAUUGGAUGGAAGUCUUGGAAGACAUCUUGCCCCUCCCGUUCACUAGGUACUAACGGAGAAACAGAUCUCCAAGCAAAGGACAGGUAUUUUCGGGAGAAAGCCAUCCUCCUGAUCUAAACUUUGGAAAGUUCCUUCAUGGAAUUGUGUGGGAGAAGGGAGAUCUCCA
rnacentral:lncRNA from 1 species